UUCAGCCUUUAAUAUGCUGUAUCUCUGGUUAUUUCCUCACCGGACACAGGUGAACAUCUCUCCACAUCUCAGCGUUCGUCUCUCUCCUCACCGCAACAGGAGGUCAAAGGUUCAUUUGUGAUUAUCAUUAUCACUGCGGAGGCUUUAGUUUUACUCCUGAUAGCAUUUCCACUGAUUAUAGUGGCUGUGCGGAUGAGAAAGAAGAAUAAAGGUCUGCUGUCGUCCGCCACUGUUGUGUUUAAUCCAGUGAUUUAUGAUCAGCACAUCCUGUUCAGCGAGUGAAGAGUCUUAUGCAACCGGAGAGAGUCAAGGCUUUAUCGUUUCAUCUGAACGCCCACAUGCUCUCAAUGAUUUACUUAUUUUGAAUGCAUGAAUCGUGACACACUUCU